rnacentral:rRNA from 1 species
UACGGGAGGCAGCAGUGGGGAAUAUUGCACAAUGGGCGCAAGCCUGAUGCAGCCAUGCCGCGUGUAUGAAGAAGGCCUUCGGGUUGUAAAGUACUUUCAGUCGUGAGGAAGGUGUUAAGGUUAAUAACCUUAGCAAUUGACGUUAGCGACAGAAGAAGCACCGGCUAACUCCGUGCCAGCAGCCGCGGUAAUACGGAGGGCGCGAGCGUUAAUCGGAAUUACUGGGCGUAAAGGGCACGCAGGCGGUUAAUUAAGUUGGAUGUGAAAUCCCCGGGCUUAACCUGGGAAUGGCAUUCAAGACUGGUUAGCUAGAGUCUUGUAGAGGGGGUAGAAUUCCAUGUGUAGCGGUGAAAUGCGUAGAGAUGUGGAGGAAUACCGGUGGCGAAGGCGGCCCCUGGGACAAAGACUGACGCUCAUGUGCGAAAGCGUGGGGAGCAAACAGGGAUUAGAUACC